GAGAGACUUCGAGCUUGAGAGAGGGAGGGGAGAGGAGAGGAGGGAGAAGGAAAUGACAGAGAGAGAGAGAGAAAGGAGAGAGAGAACGCAGAGGGAGGGAGGCAGGGAGGGAGACCAAACCCCCGCUUUACUGCGUUGAAAGCUUCUGAAUUUCAAGCAGAAAGUAGAAGGAGCUCCAAAGGCAGUGAGCGUCUUUCCUUGGGCUGCGUGUGCCGAGCGUAGACAAUGAAAAUCUUCAUCCCCCUCCCCCAUUCUACUAGGCUACAAGAUUCUUGUUUUCGUUCCUUCUCACCGGUGGAAGAUGUGUAAAAUCAAAGAUGUAGAGGUGUGUAGUGAUUUUUUUAAAAGCCAACUAACCACCGCACGGACUGCGACGCGGAUUACCCGAGCGCACGCCGGCUGGGCGCAUUCUGGGGUCUCUGCGCAAGACCAGCUCUCAGCUCUCUCUCCUUUCCUCGGACUCUGGAGCGGGAGCGGGCCUUUCCCUCGGGUCGACCACGCCGUAGGGGACGCCGUGAAAAGAGCCGUCGCGCCCGCUGCCUCCUGCCCGCUGCGCAGAGGGCUCCGCCCGUAGAGGGGUUGGGAACAAAGGAGAGGAGCUAAGAGGAUGCACCAAAGUAGCCGCGCCCUCCCUGCCUGGCGCUGUCCGCGGUGCUGACCGUGGCCCUUUUCUCUCUCCGUAAUCAAACUGGAAAAGCAAUAGGACCGUCCCGUCCCUACUCAAAAGAAGAGUAGGAUAUUAGUAUUCAUCCAAUUGCGCUGAUCUCCUGCAUCCACAUCUUGCGUAAUCCACAAAGCAGCUAUGGUCCAGGGCUGCAAAAUCGUCCUGCCUGAUUCCUUUAGAAUUCAUACUACCUCAGAGGAGCAAACCUAAUCCCCUCAGCCUAAUCCUACCUGUUUAGGAUCAUCUAAACUUGUCCUUCAGAAAGCUUGAUCAGUUUAAAAUUGCUUUCUAAAUAGAAAUGAAAUACGUGAUAUGAGAGAGGUUAAAAUACUGCUUAAAAAGGGAAACACUCAAUUUAGUAAUUCGGUUGCCUAGAUGAAAUCGAGUGGCUAUUGAUCCGUGAUGUUUCUAGAUUUUUAAGACUAUGUACUUCCUAUUUCUUUGGAAAAUAAUCAUCCAGUUUGAUGCCCAUUACAAAUUUUCCUGCUAUGAAAGAAAUUCUAUGCGCGGCAGUUUUGCAAUAAAACAACCCGGGCUUCGCAAUGGGAGAACUUCGGUGCGGCGUGCCGUGAGAGUCCUUUGACAAUCUCAGCUUUCAUCUAGGUCUGAAAUUAAAGCUUCUCGGAAUAAUUUAGGAACAGCUUGACCCGUUGAGAUACUCAAGGACAACCCUCCAGGGAAAUAGUAUGUUUCCUUCCUGGGAACAAGAUGCUAGCGCGGUGCACCGGGAGGUAUCUGGUGUCAACAAUGCCAGAGCGCCCUCUGCUGCCUCAAAGAGGCAGGACACCAGUUACAAAAGCCAGAUGGCACAGUGGCAAUAAGCGGAGGAAACAUUAAGCUCUUAGAAACGUUUAAUCUGUGAAAUUUAAAAGCUCUCAUCAUAUUCUACUUUUGAAAGGGCCACCUGAUUUUGAUUUUGAGCACUCCUUGGAUGUUAUCUUCUAUUCUGGAGGAUAAUGAAAAGUCCGUGUUUUGAAGUUUUCAGAUUAUUUCUGUAGUUAUAUUUCUCCACUCUUUCUCGAAUUUUAUAUGGAAAUACGAAAUUGCAAAUCUAAGUGAAAAACCUUUGUGUAAAACAGGUGAGUGGAGAAGACGUCCUGGUUUCUCCAAAUAACUAAGAUCUAAUAAAGAAACAAAUCUUAAUUAAAAUAAAGAUACCGAGCACAUGUUGUUGUGUUAGUUUAAAACGAUAAUAAAAAGAAAGAAAUUAAGUCUCGAUGUAAAUCAUUGUUUUGUUGUUUUGUUUCAGUGAUUAACCCAAAUUUUGACCAGACUUGAAGUUUUGAAAUAAGAAAGUGAAUUAUUUUAAAGAAGAAGAAAAAUUUGCUUCUUAUUAAUAUGUACAAUAUUUUUGCCCUUAAAACCUUUGCAAUACAUUUAUACACACACACUCAGCUUGCAAAGCCUUCUUUAGAAAAUAACCCACUCUGAGUAGAAGUAAUGAGAUAUGGUAGCAGCAUGGGCAAAGCCAUAAGAAACGUUAUUUGCAUUAAAAAUGAGUUUUUCAGUAUGGAAAAUCAAUUACCAAAUGAAAUAGAGAUUUUUUUUAAAGGUUCAAACCUUUUCAAAUUUUUAUGUUAUAGGGUUUAUAUUGAUUAAAAUAAAUGUACGUUUGUAGUUAUUCAACAUUAUGAAUUUCAAGAUGGCCACCUAUUUUGAAACGCACACCUUUGCCAUGAAGUCUGUUGUUGCAUAUAUUAGUGCUGAUGUAAUAAAAUGCUUCUAUUAACUAUGUGGUUGUUAAUAAAUCUUGUAAAAAUAAA
rnacentral:lncRNA from 1 species